rnacentral:lncRNA from 1 species
AUGGGAGAGGGCGCUCUGAGCGGUCUCGGGUCUCCGCCCAGCCGGAGCACCAGGUGGGAUAACCAGUGGGACUGCCGAGUCAGCAGCGCCCGCCCUCUCUGGAUGGGACAGGCGGAGGAAGUGUGCGGUUGGGAAGCUCCGCCGCUCUCGCCCGGGUUUCCAGCUCUCCCGCCCGCAGAAACUACAGAGAAAGUUAGCAUGGGAAUCUGCGCCCUUCUGAAACUCGGCGGGACCCCAGGAACUUCCCAACACCGCGGGGACGAGGGGCCGCGCGCGGUAACGGAAAUGUCAGCGGCGGGAGUGCCCUGCUGGGUCCCAGGCUUCUGGUCCGGCACCACCUCGCUGGAGCGCCCUCUGUCGGCGGCUCUGGGUACGGCCCGCGUCUGGGCGCUCGUUCUCGGUGGCUGUGCCAGUAUGAAUGAAAAGGGCUGUGUGUGUGCAUGAAGCCACAGUAGGUGAUAAUGGUAUGUUUCUAAAAUCCAGAUGUUAAAGGAAUAAUGUAGUGGAGGGGGAUGUCAACUAUACUAAAUCAUUUGCCUUUCGUCUCAUGUUCUUUGACUUUAGGAGAACCGUAGGUUUGCUUUUGGACCCUCUGGAGGACAAUUGCCUGAUCUUGACCUGAACCUGGCCUCCUGUGUGAUCUUUCCUUGACCUUCCUUCUCCAGUCUGUGGAGCCCAGGGUGACUGCCUGCUUCAGGCUCUAAGUAUAUUGACCAUGAUGUCAGUCCAAAGAAGUGAGCAUCCCA